rnacentral:sRNA from 1 species
GAAUGUGAAGGCACGCUAGCUGUGACAUUUGUCACUCCAGGGUUGAUAUGACUAAUCUGGCUGGCAAGGCAGGUGUGCCCUUCCUCCCUCACCACUCCAUGUGUGUCCCUCUGUGCUGCACGCUAAAUCCAAGAGGACAACCCUCCCUCAAUAGAGACAGACUGCUCUUGGUGGAGCCAGGGAACACUGUACUGCCUACGAUAACCCCCAGACAAUCUGCCAUUGGGAACAUUGCUGAGAAGCCACUGUAAGACUUAAGUGGACCUUCUGUCUAUU